rnacentral:tRNA from 1 species
CACGGUCCGGUAGCUCAGUGGUUAGAGCGCUGGCUUAACAAGCCAGAUGACCGGGGUUCGAUUCCCCGGCCGGGUGG